GGUAACAGGUCUUCGGAUGCUGACGAGUGGCGAACGGGUGAGUAAUACAUCGGAACGUGCCUAGUAGUGGGGGAUAACUACUCGAAAGAGUAGCUAAUACCGCAUGAGAUCUACGGAUGAAAGCAGGGGACCUUCGGGCCUUGUGCUACUAGAGCGGCUGAUGGCAGAUUAGGUAGUUGGUGGGGUAAAGGCUUACCAAGCCUGCGAUCUGUAGCUGGUCUGAGAGGACGACCAGCCACACUGGGACUGAGACACGGCCCAGACUCCUACGGGAGGCAGCAGUGGGGAAUUUUGGACAAUGGGCGAAAGCCUGAUCCAGCAAUGCCGCGUGCAGGAUGAAGGCCCUCGGGUUGUAAACUGCUUUUGUACGGAACGAAAAGCCUGGGGCUAAUAUCCCCGGGUCAUGACGGUACCGUAAGAAUAAGCACCGGCUAACUACGUGCCAGCAGCCGCGGUAAUACGUAGGGUGC
rnacentral:rRNA from 1 species